rnacentral:rRNA from 1 species
UACGUAGGCGGCAAGCGUUGUCCGGAUUUAUUGGGUUUAAAGGGUGCGUAGGCGGCUUUGUAAGUCAGUGGUGAAAUAUGGCAGCUCAACUGUCAGGGUGCCAUUGAUACUGCAGAGCUUGAGUACAGAUGAGGUAGGCGGAAUUGACGGUGUAGCGGUGAAAUGCUUAGAUAUCGUCAAGAACACCGAUAGCGAAGGCAGCUUACUGGGCUGUAACUGACGCUGAGGCACGAAAGUGUGGGGAUCAAACAGG